ACACGAGUUUUAUUCCUGGCUAGAAAUGGCUGGGCAAUCUGUUGAAACACUGUCGUGUCAGGAAUAGUGGAUUGAAAUUAUUCCACUUGAACGAGGAAUUCCUAGUAAGCGCAAGUCACUAGCUUGCGCUGAUUACGU
rnacentral:rRNA from 1 species